GUUCUUCAUGAAGAGCCAGUCGUUUGUACUUGUGGAAAUUCUGCCAAUUUAACUCAAUCCACCUAGGAAAUCCACCAAGAGGUAGAAAGUGCUGUGGGUGUAUGGCCUGGAUUCAUCAUGGCCUCACAAUCCAGAAUAGUUGAUCAGGCAAAACUUUAAACAUGAUGCUGAAGUGAGAGGAAGAGACUGAGAUGGCAAGUGUGGACCCACAAGCAAAUAUACAUACUGUGCAAGAAGAUGUGCUCCUUCUUUGAAGUUUCCUUCCAUCUUCAGUGAGCAGGAUCAAAGCUGUAUACGCUGCUGUGGUUCCCAACCCAAAUGGAAGACAUAAGCUUGUCCUGACAAACUUGAGUUGUUCCUUGUUCUUCUUUGGGAUCAUCCCCCUUCCAUUCAGAAAAUAGGGGUGCUUCCUUUUAUUUGAUCUUCAGCCUAGAGCUUGGGUGUGUUUUCCUUUGACAAGUCUGCUUCUGUUCUGCUUCAGUCCACACUGUGCAGCCGUCUCUCCAGAAUUUGCCUGCGCUGUGUGUCCGAGUGCUUAUCGUUAUUAACCCUGCUGGCUGAGGCUGCUCUGAAUUGUGGUUCAGCAUGUGUGCCCCCUUCUAUUAUUGUGCUCUUGAUCCAUUUUUGCUGGCCUCCUGCCCUUCCCUACUGUUAUCCUGAAGCAUUCAAAUGAUUUGGCAUAUCUUUUGAAACAGAAUGGCAAGCUGAGCAUUUUUUAAAAAAAAUAUUUAUCGUAUUUAUAUACAAUAUUGCCCUUUACAUACGAUAUUAUAUAUUGCCAAUGGUUUAGAUCUUGUUCAGAAAGAUGAACAUUAAACAAAAGUUCAAAAAUCCACAUUUUACCCAGAAGUGCUUCAUAUACCCACAGUUGCAAGGGGCAAAUGUCCUGUGAUGGCCUUAGGUGGCCUAUAAAUUUAACGAACAUAGGGAAGUGCGAGUGGUGAAGUUGGUGAGACAAAACUGUUGUCAAAACAGUGCAGGUGCCCUUCACGUUCAAGGCCAAAAAAUGAGUGGCAAAAAGUCAGUUCCCAUAUAAGGGUAGGAGAAAGACAUGCACGCUUUAAAACUUGGGGCUGUUAUAAAAAAAAGGGCUUGAUCACCUGAUUCUGCCGUGCCCAAUUUGCUCCACUCUUAGGGUUCCUGGAUCAGCAGUAAAAACUAUAUGCCUCUCCAGGCAUUGUCCUUGACUCUUUCCUGAGAGCUGGUUUGAGUUCCUAGAGAGGAAUUUACUGCGGAGCAGUGAAGACACUAAAGGCCAAUAUCUAUUAGCCUAUCUGGUGGUGACCAUAGCACAGUA